UUUCGGGUGUGUUAGAAGAAGCGAUGGCACGCUAAAAAAAAAAAAAAAAAUCAAGCCGGAUUCUUUUCACUUCUGUAUUCUUCUCCCGGCAGGCUAGUUUUGUUUCUCGCCUCUUGUCCUCUGUCAUCCUGCUCCGUCGAAGUCUGGCACUGAUUUGUCAGGGAUCUUUUGUUGCUCCUUCGCGAGAGCCUUUUCGCUAGUUCCCGCCGAGUCCAAUUUCUCGCGUCACCGAUACUGGAAUGAAUAGAAAUAAACACUCUAUCGUAUCCCUGUCACUUCAACACGCCCUUAUCACAUGGCUAGCACCGGACCCAAUCUUGAGAGAGACUGAUAGGUAACGCUCCUUCCUGUUCCGUCUACAGGUAACAGCAAGCGGAAUGGAAGAUGGGAUAGUGUCAGAAUGUCGGUGCGAAUGGGGAAACAGAGGACAAAGGUUUGAGCUCAAAGAAAAGGCAACACGGGGUAAAUAACGCGCUUCUUUCUUGGGGUCCUUCUUUCUAUGCUGACGGUCAGGCGAACACGAGCACAUCUUGACGACGAGAGCGUUCAGUUUAACCAGACUGUGCAGUAGGCCUAUAGCGCA
rnacentral:lncRNA from 1 species